AUUGAACGCUGGCGGCAGGCCUAACACAUGCAAGUCGAGCGGAUGACGGGAGCUUGCUCCUGGAUUCAGCGGCGGACGGGUGAGUAAUGCCUAGGAAUCUGCCUGGUAGUGGGGGACAACGUUUCGAAAGGAACGCUAAUACCGCAUACGUCCUACGGGAGAAAGCAGGGGACCUUCGGGCCUUGCGCUAUCAGAUGAGCCUAGGUCGGAUUAGCUAGUUGGUGAGGUAAUGGCUCACCAAGGCGACGAUCCGUAACUGGUCUGAGAGGAUGAUCAGUCAAACUGGAAGUGAGACACGGUCCAGACUCCUACGGGAGGCAGCAGUGGGGAAUAUUGGACAAUGGGCGAAAGCCUGAUCCAGCCAUGACGCGUGUGUGAAGAAGGUCUUCGGAUUGUAAAGCACUUUAAGUUGGGAGGAAGGGCAGUAAGCGAAUACCUUGCUGUUUUGACGUUACCGACAGAAUAAGCACCGGCUAACUCUGUGCCAGCCGCCGCGGUAACAC
rnacentral:rRNA from 1 species